AGGGUUUCUUUGUUCACCGAAGGAACGACACCUCUGCAGCCACAGCCACAAUCCAAGCAGGAAUGCAGUUCAGGAGCAUCUUGUUUCAGACCUGAGCUCCUUGCUGGUCUGCAGAAGGUGUGAAAUGCCAGGAGACCGCAGCCACGAGACACGCAGAGGGAAGUGGGAAGGGCAGGCACAGAUCCAGCUGUUGCUCAGGUACGUUGGUUGCCAGAAGCAAAGCAGAGGCUACAAACCACA